CAAGAAUGUUGGAAUGCUUUUUCUCUGUGUCAUCUCUGCUGCCGUCUUCAUUUGGCUUCUCUAUGUUGGAAAAGGAAUUGGAAAAGGGAUUCAAGGCCUGUUUGCUGUGAUAUCAGUCUUUAAUAAAUUAAUUUUUUCUUCGAUAUGAGUGUUCCAUCUACUAUAGUACUCUGUAUUAUAAAAUUGUAGGUUCUUUCGAUAACUAUUCUACUAUACUGUAAAAGCUACCGGGAGAAGGCAUAAAUUUUGAGCCUGAUAACAUCUCUGAAUUUCUUCCAAAUGCUACAAUUGAGGUAGAUAGGAAGCUAUGGACCUGACUAAGAAAAUUAUAAACAAAUUACUUGAGCUUGAUGUGCUGAUGCUGUUUAUACAGAUCAUAAAUAAUCAUUUUGAUAUCUUUAAAAGUUGUUCAGCAGCAGGUGAAAGUUCAUGAUUGAAAGGUAGUGAUGUUGCUUAUCAUUCACAAGUAAUUAUCGUUGGAGACCUAUAAACUUAUAAGGUGUCCGUUACGGUGCCACGUUGGAAGGGAAAAAAGUUCGAAGGACAAAUAAGUCUUUGACGUCAUUUUACAAAUAAAGUUCGAAGGACAAAUAGGUCCUUGAGAAUUUUUUCAUUAUACUUCUAUUAUGUUUCUAUUAUGAGAAUUUUGAUUAUAAAAUUAGGUUAAUUUUUUUUAUAUGGAAAAAAUAUUGGUGUUUUUGUUAAAAAUGGGAGAAUGUGGUGUAAUUAUAGAUGGGUGGAUUUUUUUUGUGGGAAGUCAACACGUGAGGGGCGUGUUGAACACGUGGCAGCAUCUUAGCCUACACGUGGGGGCGUGUUGAAUAAUUUCCACAAUACUGUAAUACACUUCAAAUGUCAAUAUUCAACCAAAACACCAAUUUUCUUUCCAUAUUAAAAAUAAUUUCUGAUAAAAUUAUGCUUGUAUUUUAAAAUUUAGUUAACUUGUAUUUGUAUUAAAAUUAUAGAA